CAUACAUCGAAGUUUGCAUUUCCUUCUGCAAAUAUAAUUUGAAUCUCAUUCUAUUUUGGCAGCAGGUGCCAUUGCAACAAAAGCUAUUCCUUCUUUAUCCCACUACCUUUAGUGUGGAGGCUGAAGUACGACAUGUCAGCUGGAGAUAUUGCAAUCUGAGUAGGAGGGAGCAGAUCCAUGACAAAAAGAUGAACAGAGAAGCUACAAAAGAAACAAAGCAUAUGGGAGAAUGCAAGUGAUCUGCCCCACAUCUGCUCCAAAGGGAACGUGCAGCACCUGAAGAAAAGAAGACUUCUCCAGAGCAGAUCUGACAGAGCACACUGCGUUCGUACUGGUCAAAGUACUGCCUUCAUCUCCUGGGAGUAAAAUACUAUUUGCUGGAAAUCAAUCAUUGCCUGUUAAAUGCAAUGUCUCUUUUAGAGCAAUAUUUCUAAGUUUUCUUUAUUGGUGCACACCGACACACUCUGUCUCCCACCAGAAAAAUUCUUUCAUGGUUUGGAGUUGGUAGAACCAUCAUUUUAAAUGGAUGAUGCCUUACUAAAGUUCAACAACUUUUGGGCCUGUGUUCAACAAUAGAUAAACUAAAAAUCUUGGCUUGUUGAGUCUGCCACUGUCACUGAAUACCAUCUGCUGGAUAAACUGUAUUUGUAUCUACUCUGUGCAGUUCCUGUGAGUUGUGGUGUUUUCAUUUAAACUUGUGUAUUUUCAAUAGACUCUCAGAGCACUGUAUGCCCU